rnacentral:rRNA from 1 species
AAUGAACGCUGGCGGCGUGCUUAACACAUGCAAGUCGAACGGGAAACCUUUUAUUGAAGCUUCGGCAGAUUUAGCUGGUUUCUAGUGGCGGACGGGUGAGUAACGCGUGGGUAACCUGCCUUAUACAGGGGGAUAACAGUCAGAAAUGGCUGCUAAUACCGCAUAAGCGCACAGAGCUGCAUGGCUCAGUGUGAAAAACUCCGGUGGUAUAAGAUGGACCCGCGUUGGAUUAGCUGGUUGGUGGGGUAACGGCCCACCAAGGCGACGAUCCAUAGCCGGCCUGAGAGGGUGAACGGCCACAUUGGGACUGAGACACGGCCCAGACUCCUACGGGAGGCAGCAGUGGGGAAUAUUGCACAAUGGGGGAAACCCUGAUGCAGCGACGCCGCGUGAAGGAAGAAGUAUCUCGGUAUGUAAACUUCUAUCAGCAGGGAAGAUAAUGACGGUACCUGACUAAGAAGCCCCGGCUAACUACGUG